GCAGACAGCCAGAACGAAUGUGCGCGCUUGAGCAUUUAGGCCUAUAUUGUUUCAUUUCUUUUUUUCAUUCUUUGAAUUAGUUCAUUCUAUUCAUUUAAAUCUUUUGAUUAUUCAUUUCUUAAUUUUGGGAUAUUUUUAUAAAUAGAUUCGGCUCUUCUGAUAUGCGAGCCGGCUCCCAACAUUCACCUACAAGAGCCGGCUCGUUCGCGAACGACCCAUCACUUCUUUAUAUUGUCAUCAAUAUUAAAAAAGAAGUGCAGAACAAGCCGUUUUAGUUUACUGCAAUUGUUUCUAAAACCGUAAUGCCACCAUAAACAGUAAGAGAUGACAGCGCCAGUGGUGAACCUUCUUUUGCUGCGUGUGGAUUCCUGGGUCUCUACCAUGUGGAGCCAUACUGAGACAUGGAGACAAGCUGCUGGGCUCUCUCAGGGCAUGUGCUGGAGCUCUGGUGGCUGCAGUGAUGAUCACUGCUCCAGACAAACUAGAGGGAGGACAUCGAGGAGUUUCUGCCUGGUGAUGCCCACAGUAAAGCAGGCAAUCGCCUUCACAUCUCAAUAACGCAUUCAAAAAGUGGCAAGAACACCAUCCUAUCCAGUUUAGCCUCCAGGGAGGACCUCAUAAAGCUAGCCUGCCACAAGCCUGAGCAGAUUAUAUUACUGUAUCUUACUAUAAACCUUGGCUUUAACACAAAAUGUUGUCGUAAAUGUUUAUGAGGAGCACGGCCAUUGUUUUCAUAUCUUGCAAUAUGUUUGGGUCAAGGAACAUUUCAAAAUCUCUUUCACUACAUAUUUUUGGAUUUGGUCUUGGUUGCUUCUUUUAAUUUAAGGCACUCUUAGCCAGUCGUUUUGUGCCUGUCUAUGCUGGAAUCAAACCGGUGGAAUGACAAGGACAGGUAAUAACUUUAGCUGCAUCUCAAACUCAACCCAUGGACGUUAUCCUUUACGAGCUUACUGUUACUUUUUUUUGGUUUAUUCAUUUUCUGCCCAAAACACAGAGGGCUCAUGAACCUCCCCCUCAAACUGGCCAACAUGGACGUAAUGGUUAUUACAUGUUCACAGGGAUACAGACAGUACACAUAGACAAGUGUGUGUAUAGCAUUCAGGGAAUGGUUUUGCACAUCAUUUUGCAUGAUGCAGAACUGUAAUUUAGUGGCUGCCUGAACAGUUAUUUUGCAGUAUAUAAAUUGGUUUGAU